rnacentral:rRNA from 1 species
AGACGCAAGUCUGCGGUACUACAACACAUGACCUCAUUGGGGUAGGACAACCCGCUAGACUUAAGCAUAUC